rnacentral:lncRNA from 1 species
AGAGGGAAUGAAGUGCUUCCGACUCGCACUUUCGCCUAGCGCGUGGGCACGCAUGUCUGUAAUACUCUGAAGAUUAAUUUUUACCUACACGAUAGGUCAGAAUUAUAGGGAAGUGAAGAAAAUAUAAAGGUGUCAGAGGAAAAUACUAGAUUCCACGGUUUUGUCGAAAGUGCAUGCUGGUGACGGGAGGGCAUGCCCUCCAAGCCGGAAGUGGAUAGGGUGGUGUCACGUGUUCCGCUUCGUUGGAGGAGGUGGACACCUGUCUUGGAAUCUUGGCUGACCAGCUCUCCUCCCUGCGCCCGGGACUGGACUGCGCUAGGACGUGGAGGCCUCCACCCGGAUUGCGAGCUUUACUCGCAGUGUGGAAGGUGUUGCCCAUUUCAUCUCCACAGCUUUGCCGACCCUGAUCGCUCGUUUCGGUGGCCUGGUGGGUUCACCCCAGGCUGAGCCAGCGCCUACGCACCUCUGAGCAGAGCCUUUGUGGUAGUUAACAACGAACGAUAUACAAUAACUCCGUUUAGUGAGCGCAGACUAUGCGAGAAACGCUACACACACUAUCUUAUUUAAGCCUCAUAGUUCUUAUGAGGGUCUUGAUCUGUGACCCAGGCUGGUGUAUGGUGGUGUCGUCAUAGUUCAUUUGUAAUCUCAAAUUUCUGGGCUCAAGCAAUCCUCUUGCCUCAGUCUCCCAGGUGGUUAGGACUACAGGUAUGUAGCCAUGCCUGGCUAAUUAAAAAAACUUUUUUUUGUAGAGAUGGG